GGGGACGGGCCCGAAAGGCAGCGGCGGCACCGCGUCCGAUCCUCGAGCGUAUGGGGCUUUGUCACAUGCUCUGUAGGAUUGGCCGGCGCCUGCCGACGUUUUCCAACCAUUUUUUCCAGGUUGACCUCGGAUCAGGUAGGGAUACCCGCUGAACUUAAGCAUAUCAAUAAGCGGAGGA
rnacentral:rRNA from 1 species